GAAAAGUAUUAUCUUAUGCAUCCCUUGUGUAAGGAAAUUGGCAUGCUAUAAGGCAAACUAGCUGCGACAUAAUAACUCAUAUAAGAAAAGGAGAGCUUCAUUACAUAAAGGCAAAUGGAUACAAAUGAAAAUCACAGCACUCUAAACAGGAACCCAAAAAACGAAAAAAAAUUUCCACAACUCCUCGUAAUCUACAUAAACAGAAAACCACAUUGUUCGAUCGUCACAUACUUCCCCAACCCCACAUCAUCACAAAUCUUAAGUCACAACAAACAUAUUCCACCACGACCCAUCAUAGCUUCUGAAUACAGCUCCCGCCUUCUGGAUUUAUAUGCUAGGGCCAGGUGUAGAUAAAUUAUACUCUCCAAUGACUACUCUUACAAGACAAGAGCCACCUCUUUAUUCUACUUGAGCAGGUUGCAUACAGCAAAACCAUUUUUUAGUUUGAGGUUUUAAAGGUUCUUCUCCUUCCUUUCUAUUACCAUCAGUCUUUGAUGGUGAGUCUGGCUUGCCACCAGUUUUUUUCUCAUCCCUAGCCUUGUUGAAAAUCACAGUAAAUCCCUCUGCAGAAGCUGGAUCAUUGACAUCCCAUUCACCAAACUUAGGCAAUGGUCGACCCUUUUCCGACAUGAAUCCAACUAUAGAGAAUGAGAAUUUUCCUCAGUGGAACAGAGCGAAAGAGAAAGGAAUUUUUUGAGAGAGAAAAGUAUGAAAAUGCGUAAUUUUG
rnacentral:misc_RNA from 1 species